GACGAACGCUGGCGGCGUGCUUAACACAUGCAAGUCGAACGGAAAGGCCCUGCUCUUGUGGGGUUCUCGAGUGCCGAGCGGGUGAGUAUCACAUGAGUAACCUGCCCUUGUAUUUCUGAUAACUUUUGGGAACUGCGGCUAAUAUCGGAUAGGAUCUCCUGCUGCACGGUGGUGGUUGGAAAGAUUCGGCGGUUGUGGAUCGACUCGCGGCUUAUCAGCUUGUUGGUGUGGUAGUGGCUUACAAAGGCUGUGACGGGUAGCCGGCCUGGGAGGGGGAACGGCCACAUGGGGACUGAGAUACGGCCCAGAAUCCUACGGGAGGCAGCAGUGGGGAAUAUGGCACAAUGGGCGGAAGCCUGAUGCAGCAACGCCGCGUGCGGGAUGACGGCCUUCGGGUUGUAAACCGCUUUCGCCUGUGACGAAGCGUGAGUGACGGUAAUGGGUAAAGAAGCACCGGCUAACUACGUG
rnacentral:rRNA from 1 species